rnacentral:rRNA from 1 species
AUUGAACGCUGGCGGCGUGCCUAACACAUGCAAGUCGAGCGGUAACAGGUGUAGCAAUACAUGCUGACGAGCGGCGGACGGGUGAGUAACGCUUGGGAAUCUGCCUAUUAGUGGGGGACAACCCGGGGAAACUCGGGCUAAUACCGCAUACGCUCUACGGAGGAAAGCCGGGGACCGCAAGGCCUGGCGCUAAUAGAUGAGCCCAAGUCGGAUUAGCUAGUUGGUAGGGAAUGGCCUACCAAGGCGACGAUCCGUAACUGGUCUGAGAGGACGACCAGUCACACCGGAAACUGAGACACGGUCCGGACUCCUACGGGAGGCAGCAGUGGGGAAUAUUGGACAAUGGGCGAAAGCCUGAUCCAGCGACGCCGCGUGGGUGAA